rnacentral:tRNA from 1 species
GAUAAAAUAAUCUAAAAAAGAUAUUUAACUGUUAAUUAAAAGAUGAAAUUUAAUUCUUUUAUCA